rnacentral:sRNA from 1 species
GCUAGGUGUGGUGGCACACACCUGUAAUCCCAGCAACUCAGGAGGCUGAGGCAAAAGGAUUACAAAAUUUGAAGCUAACCUUGGCAAUUUAGAGAGAGUCUGCCUCAA